rnacentral:rRNA from 1 species
GAGUGAAGCGGCAACAGCUCAAAUUUGAAAGCUGGCCCUUUUAGGGUCCGCGUUGUAAUUUGUAGAGGAUGAUUCGGCGAGGGCUCCUGCCUAAGUCCCCUGGAACGGGGCGUCAUAGAGGGUGAGAAUCCCGUAUGCGGUAGGUUGCCUUAGCCAUGUGAAUCUCCUUCGACGAGUCGAGUUGUUUGGGAAUGCAGCUCUAAAUGGGAGGUAAAUUUCUUCUAAAGCUAAAUACUGGCCAGAGACCGAUAGCGCACAAGUAGAGUGAUCGAAAGAUGAAAAGCACUUUGGAAAGAGAGUUAAAAAGUACGUGAAAUUGUUGAAAGGGAAGCGCUUGCAACCAGACUUGUCCGCAGUUGCUCAGCCGGUCUCCUGACCGGCGUACUCUUCUGCGGCCAGGCCAGCAUCAGUUCGGGCGGUCGGAUAAAGGCCUCGGGAAUGUAGCUCCUCUCGGGGAGUGUUAUAGCCCGGGGCGGAAUGCGGCCAGCCUGGAC